rnacentral:lncRNA from 1 species
CGCUAUGGGGCAGCUGUAGGGCAGCCAUGGGGCAGCUGUGGGGUCACUAUGGGGCAGCUGUGGGGUCUCUGUGGGGCAGCUAUGGGGCAGGGCGGCGCUGCAGCCCCACAUCUCCCCACAGAUCGCCAUGGAGUUCUGUGUGGGUUCGGCCGCCGAUCUGCUGCAGCGUGAGUGGGGCUGGGGGCCGAUGUGGGGCGGAUGUGGGGCUGGGGGCGGAUGUGGGGCGGAUGUGGGGCGGAUGUGGGGCGGCUGCUGCUUAUGGGGCCCUAUGGGGUCUUCAUGGGUUUUUUUUGUGUCUCUGUGGGGUCCUUAUAGGGUUCCUUAAGGGUUCCUAUGGGGUCCCUAUGGGUCUGUCCCUGUGGGGUCUCUCUAUGGGGUCUUUCUAUGGGGUCUCUCUAUGGGGUCUUUCUAUGGGGUCUCUGCCUAUGGGGUUUCUGUUUAUGGGGUCUUUUUAUGGGGUUUCUCUGUAUGGGGUGUCUCUAUGGGGUGUUUCUCUAUGGGGUCUCUCUCUAUGGGGUGUCUCUACGGGGUCUCUUUAUGGGGUCGAUUCUUAUGGGGUCUCUCUAUGGGAUUUCUCUCUAUGGGGUCUCUCCCUGUAGGGUCUCUGUUCAUGGGGUGUUUUUCUAUGGGGUCUCUUUAUGAGGUCUCUCUAUGGGGUCCCUAUGGGGUCUGUCCCUAUGGGGUCUCCCUAUGGGGUCUCCCUAUGGGGUCCCUAUGGUUCUCUCUAUGGGGUUUCUCUAUGGGGUCUGUCCCUAUGGGGUGUCCCUAUGGGGUCCCUAUGGGGUCUGUCCCUAUGGGGUGUCCCGCUAUGGGGUGUCUCUUCAUGGGGUCUGUCCCUAUGGGGUGUUCCUACGGGGUCUCUCUAUGGCUCCCUAUGUGUCCCUAUGGGGUCUCUCUGUGGGUUCUGUCCCUAUGGGUCCCUAUGGGGUCCCUAUGGGGUGUCCCUAUGUGUCCCUAUGGGUCCCUAUGGGUCCCUAUGGGGUCUCUCUAUGGGGUCUGUUCCUAUGGGUCUCUAUGGAGUCUGUCCCUAUGGGGUGUCCCUAUGGGGUCUCCCUAUGUGUCCCUAUGUGUCCCUAUGUGUCCCUAUGGGGUGUUCCUAUGGGGUGUUCCUAUGGGUCCCUAUGUGUCCCUAUGGGUUCUCUCUAUGUGUCCCUAUGGGGUCUCUCUAUGGGGUCCCUAUGGGGUGUCCCUAUGGGGUCUC